rnacentral:rRNA from 1 species
UACGAAGGGGGCUAGCGUUGCUCGGAAUGACUGGGCGUAAAGGGCGCGUAGGCGGAUGGCACAGUCAGAUGUGAAAUUCCCGGGCUUAACCUGGGGGCUGCAUUUGAUACGUGUUGUCUAGAGUGAGGAAGAGGGUCGUGGAAUUCCCAGUGUAGAGGUGAAAUUCGUAGAUAUUGGGAAGAACACCGGUGGCGAAGGCGGCGACCUGGUCCUUGACUGACGCUGAGGCGCGAAGGCCAGGGGAGCAAACGGG